GGAUGGGCAUGCGGCGCAUUAGCUAGACGGCGGGGUAACGGCCCACCGUGGCGACGAUGCGUAGGGGUUCUGAGAGGAAGGUCCCCCACACUGGUACUGAGACACGGACCAGACUCCUACGGGAGGCAGCAGUGAGGAAUAUUGGUCAAUGGGAGAGAUCCUGAACCAGCCAAGCCGCGUGAGGGAAGACGGCCCUAUGGGUUGUAAACCUCUUUUGUCGGAGAACAAAACCCGGGACGUGUCCCGGACUGCGUGUAUCCGAAGAAAAAGCAUCGGCUAACUCCGUGCCAGCAGCCGCGGUAAUACGGAGGAUGCGAGCGUUAUCCGGAUUUAUUGGGUUUAAAGGGUGCGUAGGCGGUCCGUUAAGUCAGCGGUAAAAUUGCGGGGCUCAACCCCGUCGAGCCGUUGAAACUGGCAGACUUGAGUUGGCGAGAAGUACGCGGAAUGCGCGGUGUAGCGGUGAAAUGCAUAGAUAUCGCGCAGAACUCCGAUUGCGAAGGCAGCGUACCGGCGCCAGACUGACGCUGAGGCACGAAAGCGUGGGGAUCGAACAGGAUUAGAUACCCUGGUAGUCCACGCAGUAAACGAUGAAUGCUGGUUGUCCGGGUCGAAUGAGACCUGG
rnacentral:rRNA from 1 species